GACGAACGCUGGCGGCGUGCUUAAUACAUGCAAGUCAACGACUUUUAGAGUAGCAAUAUUUUAAAGGGAGUGGCGCACGGGUGAGUAACACGUAGGUAAUCUGCCUUCAGGACUGACACAACUCGUCGAAAGACGGGCUAAUAUCAGAUAAUGCAGCGGCUCCGCAUGGAGACAGUUGUUAAAGUACAAGCGCCUGAAGAUGAGCCUGCGGUCCAUUAGCUAGUUGGUAGAGUAACAGCCUACCAAGGCAACGAUGGAUAGCUGGUCUGAGAGGAUGAUCAGCCACACUGGAACUGAGACACGGUCCAGACUCCUACGGGAGGCAGCAGUAAGGAAUAUUGCUCAAUGGCCGAAAGGCUGAAGCAGCAACGCCGCGUGAAGGAUGAAUGGCCUUUGGCCUGUAAACUUCUGUAAAAGGGAAAACAGUCAGGCAUGUCCUGAUUUGAUUGUACCUUUGAAGUAAGCCCCGGCUAACUACG
rnacentral:rRNA from 1 species